AGUAUGAUUUCUAGAGUUUUCUCUCUUCUCUCUCUUAGAUUCAUACAGCAACAAUUAAAUAUCAUUAGGGUUCUUGAAUAAUAGGAAUUUCAAGCUAUUCGAAGGUAUAAUUUAUGACAAGUUAAGGAGGACAACCUUUACCUUGAAGAAUUCAAGUCUUAGCAAGUGAUAGUUAUGUCCAGCAAGCUCAGGGGCAAAAUCCUAGGAUGGGACGAUCCCGAUUGGUAUGGAAGGGUGACAACUUAGGGGCGAAAUCCCAUCAUGUGUCGAUCCCGAUUGGUAUGGAAGGGUGGCAGCUCAAGGGCGAAAGCCUAGAAUGGGCCGAUCCCAAUUUGUAGAAUUAUGAGGACAGCAUCCCAGGGGUCAUUUGUAUCAUAUGUUGUAUAAAGUUUAUAAAGAACAGAAAAGUAAAGAAAAGAAUGUAACAUGCACGAUUCCACAAGUACAAAUCAAAGGUACAAGUACUGAACUAGUAGAUUUUCCCAAUAGAAGCACAUUAUACUCAGCGGAUGUUGGUGAGAUCCAGGUUGAUUCGGGGCUUUGCCGAGUCUUUACUAUGCGUAUUUUCAUAGUGGUACCAUCAUGGAUUCAAGUAGAGGCUUUGUAGACAUUAUUAAGUUAUCAUCUGUAUUCAUAGUUUCACUUGUCACAUAUAGCAGUUCAGCUAGUCAAAAGGUGUUGUAUAUGAAGUUUCAUCAGUAAUUUGCAUAGUAGUUUACUUUCCUAUCAUAGAUUACUUGUAAAGCAUAUGUUCAUAAGGUACUUGUCCGCCUCACCUUGGUUUGGGGGCUGACAAAUUUGUACGAGGGGAGUUGUUGGCUCGUCAUAAAAAUCCUGAAGAUUUGCAAGUUGAAUUUGAACUUCAAGCGAUGAUGGAUCAUUUGAAGUUGAAAAUCAAGCUUCUGACACUAUUUUCUACAACUUUUGAGGUCUCCCUAAAAAAUUUUGUUCCAAUUAGAACUUUUGGAAAAUCUCAACUUGCAGGAGAUAGCAUCUUUGUGAA